rnacentral:rRNA from 1 species
GACGAACGCUGGCGGCGUGCCUAACACAUGCAAGUCGAACGGAACUGUUUUGAAAGAUUUCUUCGGAAUGAAUUUGAUUUGUUUAGUGGCGGACGGGUUAGUAACGCGUGAGUUACCUGCCUUUCAGAGGGGAAUAACAUUCUGGAAAGAAUGCUAAUACCGCAUGACAUAUCGGAACCACAUUGUUUUGAUUUCAAAGAUUUUAUCGCUUGAAGAUGGACUCGCGUCCGAUUAGUUAGUUGGGGAGGUAACGGCUCACCAAGACCGCGAUCGGUAGCCGGACUGAGAGGUUGAACGGCCACAUUGGGACUGAGACACGGCCCAGACUCCUACGGGAGACAGCAGUGGGGGAUAUUGCGCAAUGGGGGCAACCCUGACGCAGCAACGCCGCGUGAAGGAGGAAGGUUUUCGGAUUGUAAACUUCUUUUAUUAAGGACGAAAAAUGACGGUACUUAAUGAAUAAGCUCCGGCUAACUACGUG